GUCGGAUCAAAACUGUAUGCUCUUAGAUCCUAGCACAUAAUCCUUCAGUUUUUGGUCAAUAGAGAAUAAAAGAUUAGGUUAUCUCAAAAACAUUAGUCUCAUCUUCCUCGAGGCCUCCCAUGCAUAUGUGAGAAACUGCUAAACCAAGAAGACUAACAUCUUUCCUAAUAUCUGCAUGGUUCUCCCCUAUUGAAUAUGGUUCACAUCGUCUAUCAUUAUAAUAAAGUUAUUAUGGACACUGACAUGUAGACACUAGGAGAGUGGGGCCCACAUAAUCAGUGGUUGUAAUGAUACUACCAUAACAACAUAUGAUACACACCCUAUUUGAUAAGGCUCUGCUAUCAGCACAAGAUGGAAUCAUAUAGAGCUAACACACAUGUAGCUUUUUUUAGGAAUUAAAUAUGCAUUCCAUUCAAAUAAUAAUAAUAAUAAACUACUAUAGAAAAUACACAUGCUAUUUAAAUUGUUUAUUUAAAUUCACAUAACCUGAUUUCCUGGGCGGCAUGUCCUCUUUCCCUUCAUACUCCCCCUUCCCGUAGUGCCAAAAAUAUAUUUGGAAAUUUUCUUAUGGGGGUUCAUAGGUCCACAAACAAAUUAGUUUUAUUCAAGAUGUUAAUUAAAAUGGCAUUGUCCAAAUGAUAUAGUUUUUGUAAUAACAAUUGGCUAAUCCUAUGCAGGUUAUCUUCGUGCAUGCUAGAUGGUGCCUCUUCGUUUUUGAUGCUAUUAUAGGAGAAGCAAUAUAUUGCACGCACUGGUGCUACACUUUUGGAAUUGGUAUCUAAGGGUCUUUUGUUCUAUUUUGAAUGGCGUAGUAUCUAUAGAAUUACCUAAUAGAUUCUAUGUGAUUUAUGUUAGCUUUUAAGUUCAAACGUUCAUCUUUUAAAAAUAGUUGAGGGGAUUUAUCCCACAUCACUUGAUAUUUUUUUUCUCUUUUGAGUGGAUAGGUUAGGCAGCUCGACUAACUUUCUCAGAGAGGAAUGAAAUGGAGCAGCAUGGAAGGUGUACACGAUACAAUGGUGUUUGUCUAGUGAACAAUGCAUGAGAUAUAUGACCAACCAACACUUGCAAUCUUCUUGAUAACUUCCAUUCAUAGGAUUAUAGGAAUGUAGCUGUGAUUAUUUCCAUGAAAGAAACCACUAAUGGCAAG
rnacentral:lncRNA from 1 species